rnacentral:rRNA from 1 species
GCAGCGACGCAGCGUGCGGGAUGACGGCCUUCGGGUUGUAAACCGCUUUCAGCAGGGAAGAAGCGCAAGUGACGGUACCUGCAGAAGAAGUACCGGCUAACUACGUGCCAGCAGCCGCGGUAAUACGUAGGGUACGAGCGUUGUCCGGAAUUAUUGGGCGUAAAGAGCUCGUAGGUGGUUGGUCACGUCUGCUGUGGAAACGCAACGCUUAACGUUGCGCGUGCAGUGGGUACGGGCUGACUAGAGUGCAGUAGGGGAGUCUGGAAUUCCUGGUGUAGCGGUGAAAUGCGCAGAUWUCAGGAGGAACACCGGUGGCGAAGGCGGGACUCUGGGCUGUAACUGACACUGAGGAGCGAAAGCAUGGGGAGCGAACAGGAUUAGAUACCCUGGUAGUCCAUGCCGUAAACGUUGGGCACUAGGUGUGGGGGGCAUUCCACGUUCUCCGCGCCGUAGCUAACGCAUUAAGUGCCCCGCCUGGGGAGUACGG